rnacentral:misc_RNA from 1 species
AAUCGAGAAUUGUAAGAUUCUAACUACAGUGUGCAAUAUUUCAAUGUUAAGUUUUUGAUUCAUGGAAAAGCCCAAUAUUGAAACUUGUAAGAACAGAUAGGACUUGAAUUCAUCAUCAUAUGCAAACUUAUUAUAAUUGUAUAUGCAAAGGAAACAACAAACAAGUGAAGGUAUCCACACAUGCAAAGGGAAAAUCCAAAGCCAAUAGGAAAAGUAAUGUGAACAUGCUAACAUGGACGGAAAACAAAAUUUUAAAUUAAGUGAUGUGCAACAUCCAACAAGAUACCUUAAAAAAAGUUCAGUUAUGCCAGACUACAGGGAAAACCUUAUCAGAAAGCAUUUAGAGAAACAAUUAAGAAAAUUCUCUGGCUGUCACAAACAUACAUUGACAAGUCGGCUUAAGGUUCCACACACAUUCAUAAUAAUGUAUGCACAUAAGGUGCGAAUAGAUGGAAAAGGAGACAACAUUCACCAAGAAGCAGAAGAAAAAUGAUUAUGG